rnacentral:rRNA from 1 species
UGCAGCAACGCCGCGUGAGGGACGACGGCCUUCGGGUUGUAAACCUCUUUUAGCAGGGAAGAAGCGAAAGUGACGGUACCUGCAGAAAAAGCACCGGCUAACUACGUGCCAGCAGCCGCGGUAAUACGUAGGGUGCAAGCGUUAUCCGGAAUUAUUGGGCGUAAAGAGCUCGUAGGCGGUUUGUCGCGUCUGCUGUGAAACCCCGAGGCUCAACCUCGGGCCUGCAGUGGGUACGGGCAGACUAGAGUGCGGUAGGGGAGAUUGGAAUUCCUGGUGUAGCGGUGGAAUGCGCAGAUAUCAGGAGGAACACCGAUGGCGAAGGCAGAUCUCUGGGCCGUAACUGACGCUGAGGAGCGAAAGGGUGGGGAGCAAACAGGCUUAGAUACCCUGGUAGUCCACCCCGUAAACGUUGGGAACUAGUUGUGGGGUCCAUUCCACGGAUUCCGUGACGCAGCUAACGCAUUAAGUUCCCCGCCUGGGGAGUACGGCCGCAAGGCUAAAACUCAAAGGAAUUGACGGGGACCCGCACAAGCGGCGGAGCAUGCGGAUUAAUUCGAUGCAACGCGAAGAACCUUACCAAGGCUUGACAUAUACGAGAACGGGCUAGAAAUAGUCAACUCUUUGG